rnacentral:tRNA from 1 species
GCUAGCGUAGCUCAACGGUAGAGCACGGCUUUCGUAAAGCCGAUGUUGUGGGUUCGAUUCCCACCGCUAGCUCCC